GUGCAUGCUUCGGCAGCACAUAUGCUAAAAUUGGAAUGAUACGGAGAAAAUUAGCAUGGCCCCUGUGCAAGGGUGACACACGAAUUCAUGAAGCGUUCCAAAUUAAA